GAUGAACGCUGGCGGCGUGCCUAAUACAUGCAAGUCGAGCGAACAGAUGAGGAGCUUGCUCCUCUGGCGUUAGCGGCGGACGGGUGAGUAACACGUGGAUAACCUACCUAUAAGACUGGGAUAACUUCGGGAAACCGGAGCUAAUACCGGAUAAUAUAUUGAACCGCAUGGUUCAAUAGUGAAAGACGGUUUUGCUGUCACUUAUAGAUGGAUCCGCGCCGCAUUGGCUAGUUGGUAAGGUAACGGCUUACCAAGGCAACGAUGCGUAGCCGACCUGAGAGGGUGAUCGGCCACACUGGAACUGAGACACGGUCCAGACUCCUACGGGAGGCAGCAGUAGGGAAUCUUCCGCAAUGGGCGAAAGCCUGACGGAGCAACGCCGCGUGAGUGAUGAAGGUCUUCGGAUCGUAAAACUCUGUUAUUAGGGAAGAACAAAUGUGUAAGUAACUAUGCACGUCUUGACGGUACCUAAUCAGAAAGCCACGGCUAACUACGUG
rnacentral:rRNA from 1 species